ACUGCUUCUCGGCCUUUUGGCUAAGAGCAAGUGUAGUAUCUGUUCUUAUCAGUUUAAUAUCUGAUAUGUCCUAUAUCCAAAGAACGAAGGGGCGGUAUGGAGGAUUAUGUACAUUUUAGGAGUCAAGCGCAAUGCCUGUGUCCAAGCCCAUGCCCCCACUUAGAUUCAAAGGGGGAAAUGUGGUUCAGCC
ensembl:snRNA U2 U2 spliceosomal RNA